rnacentral:rRNA from 1 species
AUUGAACGCUGGCGGCAUGCCUUACACAUGCAAGUCGAACGGCAGCGGGGACUUCGGUCCGCCGGCGAGUGGCGAACGGGUGAGUAAUGUAUCGGAACGUACCAUUGAGUGGGGGAUAACUAUCCGAAAGGAUAGCUAAUACCGCAUAUUCUCUCCGGAGGAAAGCAGGGAACCGCAAGGCCUUGCGCUCAUUGACAGGCCGAUAUCAGGUUAGCUAGAUGGUGAGGUAAAGGCUCACCAAGGCGACGACCUGUAGCGGGUCUGAGAGGAUGAUCCGCCUCACUGGAACUGAGACACGGUCCAGACUCCUACGGGAGGCAGCAGUGGGGAAUUUUGGACAAUGGGGGCAACCCUGAUCCAGCCAUGCCGCGUGAGUGAAGAAGGCCUUCGGGUUGUAAAGCUCUUUCGGCCGGGAAAAAAUCGCAUGGGUUAAUACCCUGUGUGGAUGAUGGUACCGGAAUAAGAAGCACCGGCUAACUACGUGCCAGCCGCCGCGGUAAAAC